rnacentral:lncRNA from 1 species
GAACCAUAUUAGAGAUAUGCCAAUAUACAAUACCAACCGAUAAGUCAAUUGGCAUCAAUUGUUGCGCCAUGGCCCUUCGCUCAAUAAAAAAUCGACAUACUUGGUCCUUUUCCUCCGACAUCUGGUCAGAGAAAGUUCAUAGUGAUCGCCAUCGAUUACUUCACCAAAUGAGUAGAAGCUGAACCUCUAGUAUAAAUUAUUGAGAGCA